rnacentral:rRNA from 1 species
GGCGGAGGUGAGUAAUGUCUGGGAAACUGCCUGAUGGAGGGGGAUAACUACUGGAAACGGUAGCUAAUACCGCAUAACGUCGCAAGACCAAAGAGGGGGACCUUCGGGCCUCUUGCCAUCGGAUGUGCCCAGAUGGGAUUAGCUAGUAGGUGGGGUAAAGGCUCACCUAGGCGACGAUCCCUAGCUGGUCUGAGAGGAUGACCAGCCACACUGGAACUGAGACACGGUCCAG